rnacentral:lncRNA from 1 species
GAAAAUCAACGUUUGAACUAAAAAAAAGUCGUUUCGAUCCUUGAGGUCGAGAUAAAAUAAGAGAUUCAAUUUUAUCUAAAGGUGCUACUAAGACACAAUCGGUAUGGUAUUACUCUGGUAAAGAUUCAAUCACCUUGGAACAGACAAAUUGUUGUUAGAAUCAACGUCCUCGCCAUGGGGAUUGAGCCCCUCACCACGAGCACAACGGGAGCAAUGUGAUAUGGUUUCAUAUAAACGAACUCGAUAGCACCGGUGGAUGGUUUCGUCCAUGAGGUUGAUGAUAAUUAUGUCGGUGUGGUAUUGCUCGGGUAAAGAUUCAACCGCCUUGGACAGGUAAAUUGUUGUUAGAAUGAAUGCCCUUGCCAUGGGGAUUGAGCCUCUCACCAUGAGCACAACGGGAGUAGUGUAAUAUGGUAUCAUAUACAUGAACUUGAUAUCGUCGGCGGAUGGUUUCAUCCAUGAGGUCGACAGUAAUGAUGGAUAGUUUCGUGCAAGAGCUCGACGAUGGUAGCUAGAUAAUCCAAUUUUGCUUGGCUUAUAUAUUUAUUAAGAUACUGGAUGAAAGUCAAUUCUAUAUUUAUUCACUAUCAUUGGCUAGCCAGUUGCUUAAUUUGCUUGCAGCAUGCAGGGGUAGUAGAGGCGAUAUAUAGGGAAAACAAUUCUGGAUUCCGACCAGAUUUGAUCGAACAAUUGAAAUCAAGGAGAGAGAAAAGGAAUGUUAAGAAUAAAAAAGAAUAUACACCGUUAGAAUUAAUUACGAUCCAAUCAUUUAGACUAAUUCGAUCAAAGAGUUACUAUCAAUGUGAUUAUUAAUUAUGUAAUUUUGGAAUCUAAAACAUGAAAAUUUUCUUUAAAACAUCAUAUGGAAUGGAAACAAAACAUGUUUGAAUCUUCCAUGAACUUCAUGUUGAUAAUAUAAA